rnacentral:rRNA from 1 species
CCUACGGGAGGCAGCAGUGAGGAAUAUUGGUCAAUGGACGAGAGUCUGAACCAGCCAAGUAGCGUGAAGGAUGACUGCCCUAUGGGUUGUAAACUUCUUUUAUAAAGGAAUAAAACGAGGCACGUGUGCCUUUUUGCAUGUACUUUAUGAAUAAGGAUCGGCUAACUCCGUGCCAGCAGCCGCGGUAAUACGGAGGAUCCGAGCGUUAUCCGGAUUUAUUGGGUUUAAAGGGAGCGUAGAUGGGUUGUUAAGUCAGUUGUGAAAGGUUGCGGCUCAACCGUAAAAUUGCAAUUGUUACUGGCAGUCUUGAGUACAGUUGAGGUAGGCGGAAUUCGUGGUGUAGCGGUGAAAUGCUUAGAUAUCACGAAGAACCCCGAUUGCGAAGGCAGCUUACUAAACUGUGACUGACAUUGAUGCUCGAAAGUGUGGGUAUCAAACAGGAUUAGAUACCCCAGUAGUC